rnacentral:lncRNA from 1 species
UCCUGGUAUCUAUGAUGAGUUUAUAUACUUACAAGCGUUUGCAAACAAACUAUCAAUUUAAUCUGAAACACAUAUAUAUCAAAUUGGAUCCAAACCAUGACAAAUUUGACCAAUACCUUGACGAAUUUCGUAACACUUACCAAACAAUGUCAACCGUUUUAACAAACCAUAGCAAUGUCGAUAGCUUAUUCUGUGCUAUUUUCUUGAAAACAAACAUUGCAAUAUAAAUCGUUUGACUUACAAUACAGAUUCAAAAUUGUUAGUUCCUUUCAUUUGCUCGUUUAUAAAGAAUUGAGGCAAUCAUUUUGGGACGUUAUUACCUUAACCAUGUUCAACUAAAACAAUCUAUGACAAAAUCACUAAUAAUACUUAACGCUCCUCGACAUGAAG